rnacentral:rRNA from 1 species
UUGUGGUUAAAAAGCUCGUAGUUGGAUCUCGGCGGACUGAGGGCGGUUUGCUUGCUAGUAUUACUGCCCUAUAGUCCGUAGUUUUGCCAGAGGUUUCGGGGUGCUCUUAAUCGAGUGUCCCGGGAUGCUGGCAGGUUUACUUUGAAAAAAUUAGAGUGCUCAAAGCAGGCUAUUACGCCUGAAUAUUCGUGCAUGGAAUAAUAGAAUAGGAAGUCGUUUCUAUUUUGUUGGUUUUCGGAAAUCGACUUAAUGAUUAAUAGGGACAGUCGGGGGCAUUUGUAUUCAAACGACAGAGGUGAAAUUCUUGGACCGCUUGAAGACAAACUACUGCGAAAGCAUUUGCCAAGAAUGUUUCCAUUAAUCAAGAACGAAAGUUAAAGGUUCGAAGGCGAUUAGAUACCGCCCUAGUUUUAACCAUAAACGAUGCCAGCUAGCGAUCUGCGGACGUUUUUUUUGUAGACUCCGCAGGAAGCUUCCGGGAAACCAAAGCAUUUGGGUUCCAGGGGAAGUAUGGUUGCAAAGCUGAAAACUUAAAGGAAUUGACGGAAGGGCACCACCAGGAGUGGAGCCUGUGGCUUAAUUUGACUCA